rnacentral:lncRNA from 1 species
GGGGAUUCCUGUAGCAAAAAUGUUUGAUUUUGGGGUCCAGUGGGGGAUUUUUGAAGAGCAAAAGUGUGAUUUUCGAGUUAAAUGGGGGAUUUUCCAAGAGAAAAUGCGUGAUGUUGGGGAUGAUGGGGUAUUUUUGAAGAGAUAAAGCAUGAUUUGGGGGUAAAUGCGGGAUUUUCCAAGAGAAAAGGCGUGAUUUUUGGGUUACAUGGGGGAUUUUUGAAGAGAAAAUGUAUGAUUUUCAGUUAAAUCGCGGCAUCUCUAAGAGAAAAUGCCUGAUGUUUGCAUUAAAUGUGUGAUUUUCAGGUUACGUGGGAGAUUUUUGUAGAGAAAAUGUGUGAUUUGGGGUUAAAUGAGGGAUUUCCGAAGAAAAACUGUGAGUUUUGUGGUGAAGUUGCGGGAUUUUCGUUUCUGGUUUUUUUUUUUUUUUUUUUUUUUUUUUUUAAGAGAAAAUGUGUGAUUUUGGUGUUAAAUAGAGUAUUUUUGAAGAGAAAAUGUGUUAUUUUGGGGUGAAAUGGUGGAUUUUUGUAGAGAAGAUGAGUGAUUUUCGAGUUAAAUCAGGUAUUCUCAAAGAGAAUAUCUGUGAUUUUUGGGUUUAAUGGGGGAUUUUUGCAGAAAAAUACAUGAUUUUCGUGUUGAAUCACCGAUUCUUGAAGAGAAAAUGCAUGAUUUCUGCUUUAAAUGUGAGAUUUUAACAGAGAAAAUGCGGGAUUUUCGGGUUAAGCAGGGUAUUUUUUUGUAGAGAAUAUUGGAGACUUUCAGGGUUAAAAGGGUAUUUUCAAAGAGAAAAUCCAUGAUUUUUGUUUAAAUGGGAUGUUUU